CUGCUCUUGUCUUUUCAUGUUUGGCAUUACAGGUUCUGCUGGUUUUUGGUCUUUUGUCUUCUUGCAUUUUUGGAAUUACCUUUGGAGACACAAACAGAAGUUAUCUUCUUUCAUUUAUAUCUUUUGUGACUGUACCAGCAUUAGUGAUUGUAGCAUUUACUGUUUGUUAAGCUAAUUGCUUUUAGAUUAGAUUUUUGAAAACUCUGUGUCGUAAAUAAAUCUCUUAAUUUCAAUGCGAUUGCAAGUUGUACAUUCCGAUUAAUGUUGAUCCGCCAGGCUACACUGCAUAGCAGCAAAUCUGGAGAUCUGAUUGAUAAGCAGUUUCUUAUGUGAUGUUUCGUUACAGUUUUGCUAGUCAUUCAACACAGAACUAUAAAGGUGGAGUCUCAAGUCAUUAACUGAAGGUUGCACAGCCCAGGUGGCACAUCUCCCAGAAGUACUAUUACUCUCUGCUUCCUCGUACUGAAGUUCAGUGCAAAGCUCUCCCUCGGUAAUACUGAUGACGGAUAUUUUCUUCUCAGACAUUGUUCCAGAGCAACAGGAUUUACCUUACUGCUGGCCUUAUAAGUCAAUAAGGAGACUGACCCUGUAGACAUGGCUGAGAAGGAUGAGUCACAACCUGUGCAGAAGUUGGAACAGACGCGCUCUGAUAGCAUGAGCAGUGAAUAUGAUGACAGCGAUAACAAGAAUCGCAAGUGAGUAUGUGUGCAUGCA